rnacentral:rRNA from 1 species
AACGAACGCUGGCGGCAGGCCUAACACAUGCAAGUCGAGCGAGAUCUUCGGGUCUAGCGGCGGACGGGUGAGUAACGCGUGGGAAUAUGCCUCUUGGUACGGAAUAGCCUCGGGAAACUGGGAGUAAUACCGUAUGUGCCCUUUGGGGGAAAGAUUUAUCGCCAAGAGAUUAGCCCGCGUUGGAUUAGGUAGUUGGUGGGGUAAUGGCCUACCAAGCCGACGAUCCAUAGCUGGUUUGAGAGGAUGAUCAGCCACACUGGGACUGAGACACGGCCCAGACUCCUGCGGGAGGAAGGAGUGGAGAAACUUAGACAAUGGGGGCAACGCUGACGUAGCCAUGCCGGGUGAGUGAUGAAGGCGUUAGGGUUGUAAAGCUCUUUCAGCUGGGAAGAUAAUGACGGUACCAGCAGAAGAAGCCGCGGCUAACUCCGU